rnacentral:miRNA from 1 species
GUAGCACCUUGCAGGAUAAGGU